rnacentral:rRNA from 1 species
UACGUAGGGUGCAAGCGUUAAUCGGAAUUACUGGGCGUAAAGCGUGCGCAGGCGGUUAUGCAAGUCAGAUGUGAAAUCCCCGGGCUCAACCUGGGAACUGCAUUUGGGACUGCAUGGCUAGAGUACGGUAGAGGGGGAUGGAAUUCCGCGUGUAGCAGUGAAAUGCGUAGAUAUGCGGAGGAACACCGAUGGCGAAGGCAAUCCCCUGGACCUGUACUGACGCUCAUGCACGAAAGCGUGGGGAGCAAACAGG